AAUUCUCGUUCCGAACGGAGGGACAUUACCGAGUUUACAACUCCCAAACCCAAUGUGAACCAUACCAAACUGUUGCCUCGGCGGGGUCACGCCCCGGGUGCGUCGCAGCCCCGGAACCAGGCGCCCGCCGGAGGGACCAACCAAACUCUUUCUGUAGUCCCCUCGCGGACGUUAUUUCUUACAGCUCUGAGCAAAAAUUCAAAAUGAAUCAAAACUUUCAACAACGGAUCUCUUGGUUCUGGCAUCGAUGAAGAACGCAGCGAAAUGCGAUAAGUAAUGUGAAUUGCAGAAUUCAGUGAAUCAUCGAAUCUUUGAACGCACAUUGCGCCCGCCAGUAUUCUGGCGGGCAUGCCUGUCCGAGCGUCAUUUCAACCCUCGAACCCCUCCGGGGGGUCGGCGUUGGGGAUCGGGAACCCCUAAGACGGGAUCCCGGCCCCGAAAUACAGUGGCGGUCUCGCCGCAGCCUCUCCUGCGCAGUAGUUUGCACAACUCGCACCGGGAGCGCGGCGCGUCCACGUCCGUAAAACACCCAACUUCUGAAAUGUUGACCUCGGAUCAGGUAGGAAUACCCGCUGAACUUAAGCAUAUCAAAA
rnacentral:rRNA from 1 species